UACGUAGGGCGCAAGCGUUGUCCGGAAUUAUUGGGCGUAAAGAGCUCGUAGGCGGUUUGUCGCGUCUGCUGUGAAAACCUAAGGCUCAACCUCGCGCCUGCAGUGGGUACGGGCAGACUAGAGUGCGGUAGGGGAGAUUGGAAUUCCUGGUGUAGCGGUGGAAUGCGCAGAUAUCAGGAGGAACACCGAUGGCGAAGGCGGCUCACUGGCCCGUUACCGACGCUCAGGCGCGACAGCGUGGGGAGCAAACAGG
rnacentral:rRNA from 1 species